ensembl:lncRNA
GAUAAAAUAAACCCACAAACGAAAGCGAUCAGCAACAGAAAGCAGAACGUCCUCUCUUCUCUGCAGCUCCAUGUGUCAUCAUGACGCAGAACAAAAUGUGAUUCAUGUAAAUCAUCCACUGCAGCGACGUUGUUGACCUUUAAUCGUUCUGAAGUCGGGAAGUUGUGUUUGUUUGUUUUUUUGUUUUUUUUUCUGGGCUUGCCAGGGGGCGGAUCUCCACAGCUGGAGGCAGCAGAGCGACGCUUCAGUCUCUUCAUACGGCAACACCGCGAUGUCUUGGAUCAAACUCCUGCUUUUUGCCACCUGUGCAGAUCUUCAGACAUCACCAGAAGGCAGCAUUCAGAGGCAGCAGAGUUUAUUGUCAACAAAAUCCCCCAGAGAAGUUCUGAGCAGCAGCUAGAAUCACCAGGUGUUUUUUGUAAUUUUUGUCACUUUUUCUUUAUCUAAGCAUCCUUUUCUGUCUUUGUCAUUUUUUUGUACUAGAUUUGGCAUCCUUUUGUGUCGUUUCUGUGUCUUUUUGUGUUACUUAAGCAUGUUAAUGUGUCAUUUUUGUGUCUUUUUCUGUCAUUUUGAAGCACCAUCAGUUCAUUUGUAUCAAUGUAUUUUGCCAUGGUUCAUUUGAAAGCACAUUUACACAAAUAUAAUCAAAGAAAAUAAUGUUAAGUUAAAUAAAUCACUCAUCCAAUCCAUCCUCACCUAGAACAUCUCAACCUGGUUCAACUUAGACUGCACUGUGUUUUUAUGUGCUUUACUUGUUUUUAUUUAUUUUACUGUGUUUUUAAUGUGUGUGGUUUUUAAACUUUGUCUUCCAGCUGUGACAAAAGAUGAAUUUCUGUUUUUACUUGGAGCAAAGUAUUGUAUUGUAUUGUAUUGUAUUGUAUUGUAUUGUAUUCUAUUCUAAAUACAUGAAUGAUUCAAUGUAUCAGUGUGAAUCAGUCCCCAAACUGCACCUGCUCUUUAGCUGAAACACUUCUUCUGGUAAAUAAAGAGACAAACAAACAGGAUUUUAUUUUCCUAUGUUGGUUAAAUGUGUUUCUGUUUUUAAUUUGUAGCAUGAAGAAGCAGAAACGGUUCAGUGUUCAGGAGGCACUGCAGGUCUUCAUGGAUGUUGAAGCAGCUCAGAUGAAGACCUUGAUUACAUUCCCAGCAACACAAAACACAGCAGUGUCAAAUAUGAGGCCCGCGGGCCAAAAGUGGUCCUCCAGAGGGUCCGAUCCGGUCCUCAAAGUAUCCUCUGUGAUCUGGAAGUUGUAAUGUGACUCGCUGUCAGACCAAGAGGGCUACCAGAGCAGCUCUGGUGGCAGCCUGAGUGGCUCUGAGUCCCCCACGCUGGACACCACCUGCCGCCUUCCCAUCUCUGAUGACUAGACUGCACGCAUCCACCAGUGACACAAAGAGAACAUGGCACUCCCCUCUACCUCUGCCCCUUCUACAGCUUCCCUGUCCUCCUCUACACAAGAUACUGUUAGUUCCUCAAUAGAAUUCUAAGGAUGUAAUCAAUUAAGGGAACCCGACUCAAAUUAUCAUUUCAUCCCGGCUAAUCUGCACAGCAAGUUUUAAAAAGUACCCUGUCAUGUGUCAUAGUGCCAAAAAGGAGAGGAAAUUGAACAAUGAAAAUCAUGAGAACAAGAAUUGACUGUUUUCCCAGGUGCCACUUGUUUUUUUUUUCUUUCUUCUUCAUUUGUUCGUGAAUGUGUAGCAGCACAAGUGGCCUUGGAAAGGGGAGUGCAUUGCACUAGCCCCUCCCCCCCGAUGAUACCACUUCCCCUGAGCUAGCUAGAGGGUGCUCACUAAUGUAACUGUAGCUUACCACAGACGUUUUACAGACUGAGUUAAGACAAAAAGGAAAAAAAAAUAAAAAAUAAGACCCUGAAAAUAUAUGAAUAGUUUUUUUUAAAAAAAAUAAUAAUAAGAAAAAAGUGCCUGGGGCGGUUUCUGCAUGUGUUUAGGGUGAAUGGACUAUUGUUUGUUUAUGAUUCUUUCUCAUUUGCCCCCCCUCACCCCCUUUUAUCGUCAUGGUUCUCCUCAAACCCCGGUUUAUGUAAUUGUGAUCUGGGUGAGUCUGCAGGAAGGACUUUGAACUGGAAGUUGGUUAUGUCCUCCUCCUCCUCCUCCUCCUGUUUUCUCCUCCUGUUGCUGGUCACUGGCUCUUUUUUGUUGUUGUUUGGGAAGGAAGUCUCGAUAUCAAGCUGAUCAUUAAACCUGUAAGACUUUGUCCUGCCCCCUGCCUCCAUUCGACACACACCUCCCUCUUCAUCCUCACCGAUCUGGGAAUUCUAGCAUUCCCAUGGUGCAGUUGUACAUCCUACAACUUGACAAGAUCGGAUCUCCAAGCUAUUUUACUUUACUUUCUCCCCCCCUCCAACUUUAGAACCUGCUCCAAGGAGCAUUCUGUACUCAUUACAUCUCUCUUUUUGCUUUCUUUAUUUGAUAAUUAUUUUUUAUUAAUGUUAUUAUUAUAGUUAUUAUUAUUUGAAAAACUUUACAGACAGAAGGUUUGCGUGUCACUGCUUAUUUAACUUAUCAGAACAUAUUUAUUGGUGAUCAUAUGCAUUUUUUGUUAAUUUUGUUUUUGUAUUUAUCUGGAUAAUGAACAAUAGGAUAUGUUUUCUUUUAUGUUAAAUUAUGAUCUUCCAUAUUAAUCUAAAGAUUGUGAAGACGUUUUUGUCAGUUUUCCUUUUCUCACAGUUUAAUAUAUUGUACUUCGAUGACUUUUGUUCUGCAACUACACUUUGUCAAAAUGAAACUUAAUUUCCCAGCCAGCAGGCAGAUGGGUUCCCCCACAUAAAGAGCCGGGUUCUGCUCCAGGUUUUUUUCCCUGUUAAAGGGUGUUUUACUGCCACUGUCUCCUUUUGGCUGCUCUGGGGGUUCAGGCAUAUGGGUUCUGUAAAGUGUCUUGAGACGAAUUGAAAUGAUAAACUUGUUGACAUUUUCACUUAUUUUUCUUAAGAAAUUUCAGGUUGUUCAUAAUGUUUUGUAAAAAGAUAGUUCAUUAAAUGUGAAUUUUUCUGUACUAAAACAAUAGGAAACAUUAGGAGUUGUUAUUUACAGGUUUUUAAGCUGUGCUUUUACUGGUCCGGCCCUUUGAGAUCAAACUGGGCUGAAUGUGGAUGUGAACUAAAAGGAGUUUGACACUCCUGGUUUAACACCAAAUCUCCUCCACCCAAGAGAGUUCAUGUUGGAGUUCCACAUCAUGUUUGCGCUGACAACGUUGGACACUUGUCUGUGAAAUAUGAAAUGUGAUUUGCUUCUUUGCGUCACUGAGGAAAGAAUUUCUUCCAGUUCACUGAAGUGUAAGUAUUUCCAUGUUAUGCUACCUUAUACUUGUAUUUUGUAGGCAAACAUUAAACUUUACAUUAUUCUAAGGCUUUAAAUACCAGCUAUUUUACAGAUUUAAACUUUGAUAUUAUAUUCUAAUAAAUUAAACCACCCAGCAGUGUAUAAAGUUGAUGAAAUGAGCUCCAGCUGCAUCAUUAACGUGAUUUUACACAUUAAUG